rnacentral:rRNA from 1 species
GACGAUAUGCUUUGGGGAGCUGUAAGUAAGCUUUGAUCCAGAGAUUUCCGAAUGGGGAAACCCAGCAUGAGUUAUGUCAUGUUAUCGAUAUGUGAAUACAUAGCAUAUCAGAAGGCACACCCGGAGAACUGAAACAUCUUAGUACCCGGAGGAAGAGAAAGAAAAUUCGAUUCCCUUAGUAGCGGCGAGCGAAAUGGGAAGAGCCCAAACCAACAAGCUUGCUUGUUGGGGUUGUAGGACACUCUAUACGGAGUUACAAAGGACGACAUUAGACGAAUCAUCUGGAAAGAUGAAUCAAAGAAGGUAAUAAUCCUGUAGUCGAAAAUGUUGUCUCUCUUGAGUGGAUCCUGAGUACGACGGAGCACGUGAAAUUCCGUCGGAAUCUGGGAGGACCAUCUCCUAAGGCUAAAUACUCUCUAGUGACCGAUAGUGAACCAGUACCGUGAGGGAAAGGUGAAAAGCACCCCGGAAGGGGAGUGAAAUAGAACCUGAAACCGUGUGCUUACAAGUAGUCAGAGCCCGUUAAUGGGUGAUGGCGUGCCUUUUGUAGAAUGAACCGGCGAGUUACGAUUUGAUGCAAGGUUAAGCAGUAAAUGUGGAGCCGUAGCGAAAGCGAGUCUGAAUAGGGCGUUUAGUAUUUGGUCGUAGACCCGAAACCAGGUGAUCUACCCUUGGUCAGGUUGAAGUUCAGGUAACACUGAAUGGAGGACCGAACCGACUUACGUUGAAAAGUGAGCGGAUGAACUGAGGGUAGCGGAGAAAUUCCAAUCGAACCUGGAGAUAGCUGGUUCUCUCCGAAAUAGCUUUAGGGCUAGCCUCAAGUGAUGAUUAUUGGAGGUAGAGCACUGUUUGGACGAGGGGCCCCUCUCGGGUUACCGAAUUCAGACAAACUCCGAAUGCCAAUUAAUUUAACUUGGGAGUCAGAACAUGGGUGAUAAGGUCCGUGUUCGAAAGGGAAACAGCCCAGACCACCAGCUAAGGUCCCAAAAUAUAUGUUAAGUGGAAAAGGAUGUGGCGUUGCCCAGACAACUAGGAUGUUGGCUUAGAAGCAGCCAUCAUUUAAAGAGUGCGUAAUAGCUCACUAGUCGAGUGACACUGCGCCGAAAAUGUACCGGGGCUAAACAUAUUACCGAAGCUGUGGAUUGUCCUUUGGACAAUGGUAGGAGAGCGUUCUAAGGGCGUUGAAGCAUGAUCGUAAGGACAUGUGGAGCGCUUAGAAGUGAGAAUGCCGGUGUGAGUAGCGAAAGACGGGUGAGAAUCCCGUCCACCGAUUGACUAAGGUUUCCAGAGGAAGGCUCGUCCGCUCUGGGUUAGUCGGGUCCUAAGCUGAGGCCGACAGGCGUAGGCGAUGGAUAACAGGUUGAUAUUCCUGUACCACCUAUAAUCGUUUUAAUCGAUGGGGGGACGCAGUAGGAUAGGCGAAGCGUGCGAUUGGAUUGCACGUCUAAGCAGUAAGGCUGAGUAUUAGGCAAAUCCGGUACUCGUUAAGGCUGAGCUGUGAUGGGGAGAAGACAUUGUGUCUUCGAGUCGUUGAUUUCACACUGCCGAGAAAAGCCUCUAGAUAGAAAAUAGGUGCCCGUACCGCAAACCGACACAGGUAGUCAAGAUGAGAAUUCUAAGGUGAGCGAGCGAACUCUCGUUAAGGAACUCGGCAAAAUGACCCCGUAACUUCGGGAGAAGGGGUGCUCUUUAGGGUUAACGCCCAGAAGAGCCGCAGUGAAUAGGCCCAAGCGACUGUUUAUCAAAAACACAGGUCUCUGCUAAACCGUAAGGUGAUGUAUAGGGGCUGACGCCUGCCCGGUGCUGGAAGGUUAAGAGGAGUGGUUAGCUUCUGCGAAGCUACGAAUCGAAGCCCCAGUAAACGGCGGCCGUAACUAUAACGGUCCUAAGGUAGCGAAAUUCCUUGUCGGGUAAGUUCCGACCCGCACGAAAGGCGUAACGAUUUGGGCACUGUCUCAACGAGAGACUCGGUGAAAUCAUAGUACCUGUGAAGAUGCAGGUUACCCGCGACAGGACGGAAAGACCCCGUGGAGCUUUACUGUAGCCUGAUAUUGAAAUUCGGCACAGCUUGUACAGGAUAGGUAGGAGCCUUUGAAACGUGAGCGCUAGCUUACGUGGAGGCGCUGGUGGGAUACUACCCUAGCUGUGUUGGCUUUCUAACCCGCACCACUUAUCGUGGUGGGAGACAGUGUCAGGCGGGCAGUUUGACUGGGGCGGUCGCCUCCUAAAAGGUAACGGAGGCGCUCAAAGGUUCCCUCAGAAUGGUUGGAAAUCAUUCAUAGAGUGUAAAGGCAUAAGGGAGCUUGACUGCGAGACCUACAAGUCGAGCAGGGUCGAAAGACGGACUUAGUGAUCCGGUGGUUCCGCAUGGAAGGGCCAUCGCUCAACGGAUAAAAGCUACCCCGGGGAUAACAGGCUUAUCUCCCCCAAGAGUUCACAUCGACGGGGAGGUUUGGCACCUCGAUGUCGGCUCAUCGCAUCCUGGGGCUGUAGUCGGUCCCAAGGGUUGGGCUGUUCGCCCAUUAAAGCGGUACGCGAGCUGGGUUCAGAACGUCGUGAGACAGUUCGGUCCCUAUCCGUCGUGGGCGUAGGAAAUUUGAGAGGAGCUGUCCUUAGUACGAGAGGACCGGGAUGGACAUACCUCUGGUGUACCAGUUGUCGU